rnacentral:other from 1 species
GCGGCGCUGCGGGGUGCGUGAGGAUAUUUCCCCGGGGCCUUACGAUCCCCUAGGGAGCUGUCCCUGUUCUUGUCCGUGGACUUGGGCACACGGCGCCCACCUACUUUGUAGGUACCCGGGAUCCGUCCCACGGCUUUUGUGGCCCGCA